GCUGUUCAUUUUUAAAGCAUUCUUUUCUCAAAGAAGCAUAAGGAAGAUAACUUUUAUCUUAGGGGUACAGGACGCCCACAUCGUUGUGUGUAUCUCUUGAGAGGGACCCAGGACCCUGCCCCGAGGCUGUCCUCGGGUUUCUUGACUGUUCUUCCCUUGUCUUUGCAUCCCCUCCUUUCCCUGAUCAGCAACUGUCUGAAGCCGUCCCUUGGAACUCGGGGAAGACCACGGAGGCCGAACGAGGCCCAUUUGCUAAGAAAUGAGGGACACAGAAACACUCGUGUGCCGGGGACCCCCAGAGGGCCCCGCUCAGUUACAGUCAUUGUGGCAACCCGAGUAGAUGAGGACACCUAGAAAUAAGACGAUAAAGUUCUAAUCUUCAGCAACCCCUUCAACAUUUGUAAGGUAUUUUCUAUUCAGCAAAGAUACUUUUACUUUGUAAAUCUCAUGCAGCGUUAUCCAUGUCAUCUAUUCAUUCAACAAACGUGUUAACAAAUGUUAAUUUCCAUCCCACAAGCCAAUGGAAAUCCUGGGAAACUGGAUUGUGAUGAUCAUUAUACAACUACAGAUGUGACCAAAAAAAUAAUAAAAAAUAAAAUAAAAUAAACAAAUAUUUAUUGGGUGCUUAUUGUGUACCAGGCAAUUUUCUAGGUGCUAGAGACGCAGAAGGGAACGAGACCAAACUGGAGCUUGUGAAAACAAAUGAGGCAAUGGAGGUGACUUAACUACGGUCAUAAGCAGUUGCAGAACUAGAAUUCAAAAUCAGGAUUUUUAUUUCUAGCCCAGCACUUUGAAAAAUGUAUCCAAUCUUCCUUUCAUGCCUGGGAAAUGAUCUCCACAAAUUGCUGUUCAAACUUUAUCUCCUCCAAUAAACCCAGUGACCAAAAAUUCCAUCACUGUUCAUGCCCGCAAUGGCACAGGUUCCUGUUUUGUCUCUGUGAUGGUGCGGGUUUGCCCCCCACCCCGCCCAGGCUGAUGCAGUGGGUUAAGGAUCUCGCAUUACUGCACCUGCUGCAUAGUACACAGCCAUGGCUCUGAUUUUAUCCCUGGCCUGGAAACUUCCAAAUGCAGUGGGUGUGGCCAGAAAGAAAAAAACAGCCCAACACUGGAACUACAUUUACUCAAAUUCCUUUUACUUAUCUUAUAUCCUCAGCCACAGCCCAAUAUUUUAAAAAGUCAUUUAAUAAAUUGUUUUGUAACCAAGCAGGACCCUACCGGGCUUUCCCCGGGAUUUUAGGGGGCAUAAACCACCCAUCUCCUUGCAUGGUCCUGCAAUAAACAUUUCUCUGCUCCCAAUUUCAAUGUUUCGGUUUGUUUGGCCUCACUGUGCAUCAGGUAUUCGAACUUUCAUUCAGAGGCAAUUUUAGAAGUUUCAUUUAGAAAAUAAAAAGAUGUAUUUAUGUGUCUCACCCUAUGUAAUGUGCAUAUUUUUUGUCAUUUUUAUUUUGACCUAGCUUACUUUUUGCUUUCAUUUCCUCUGGCCCAGGUUAUCUCUUUCCAUGUGUUGAAAGAAGAUUCCUUUAGCAUCCUGCAACCAAUCAUGUAACUCUUGCUUGAAACAAUGGUGGCAAAAGUAAAAACUUCUCUGAAAUAAAGGAACAUUACAGAAGUCUACAUUACAUUUCUUAAGCUAUUGCAUAACCAGCCACGUGUAACCUACACACAUUCUCCCUUCCCUGUGCUCCUAGGUGACACGCUUUUGUAUGACAUUUUACAUCGUCUAAUCCAUUCAUGAGGGAGAGGAACCAAGCAGUCCCACUUCAGUCAAGAUGAUGGAUCAAAACAGCAUCCUCAUGCUUGCAGACACAGAUGGGAAAAAAUUGUAAAAAGUCUUGCAAAGAGGAAGUGGGAGAGGAUGAAUACUCAGUAUAUCCAUCUGGUUGCACAUUUUGGAAAAGCAGACUGAUUUUUCCCAUGUCUCCCCAGGAUGAUUGCUCCUAAGCCCGGCCAUUUAGUGUGAAUUUGUAGGUAUCAGAGGUUGAAGUGAUACCUGCAAAUAGAUAUAGAUAGAGGUGCUGAACUAUCGAAGAGAUUGCAAAAUCUUGCGCUGGGGAAGGAAAGGGGGUUCCUUUCUUGCCCUGAACUCUACUUUGGAGUUGAAGUAGAGACAGCCAGCCAUUCCCUAGCGCCAAGGACUCCAUCCAAACAUCACAGCAACAGUGACAUUCCCAAACCUUCUGCAAGCCAGCACCAUCUUUACUGCAUUACAGUUACCUCAGGACCAAUAGCGCCCUGGCCACCAAAACCAAAGGGGAGGGGGUGGUGGGAGGGUCCUGGAAUGAUCACAUGACUGUCUUGAUUAUAGGCUGUGUUUUUGAGUAAACGCACCCUGCUGCUAUGGUAGAGUGAUAGCUCCUCCCCAGGAAGUGGCCCUCUGGGGCAGUGCUCCUACCUUUGGGAUUGGCCCUUGGCUUUUUACAGCCCUUUCUUUUGCUUUUUCCAAGAAUCUUUGCUCCUAACCAGAAGAGAUGUUCCGUCAACUAAGAGAAGGCCAAAAAACGUGUGCUGGUUCAAAAAGGCCUUGAAAAGGGAAGAAUGGAAAUUCUCCCCUUGAAUGAAGUCAAGGAUUAAGAAGGAAAGCAAAUGAGGUUGGCAUCCUCGUGGCAUGUCUUAGAUGCUUGAUAAAUGGCUAUGAAGUAUUCAUUCAGGGCCCUCCCCUUUGCACACCAAAGGCACUUGAAGAGGAGAGCUUGAAAAGUGAUUUCUGGGUUCUGAGCAUCCAUCUGAAUUAGAACGGGGGGAAGGAUUGAGAAUGCGAAAAGCAUAGUCCACCACUGCACAUACAGCGCCCCUUUGGAACAAUUAUUGUCUCUUGAUUUACAGACUUCGCUGCAAAUCGACACAGAAACAGCUAUAUUCAAUCUGUGACUGAGACGCGAAUGUAACCCCCAAAUAAAAAGGCAUUUAUUUUAUGCAACUGUUAUUAAGAAAAAUGGUGGUUUUCAUUAUUUUCGUUGUUGAAGAGAGGAAUAACUCAUUAACUCUUGAAACUUCUCUACAACCCGCUGGGGACUCUCUGGGGUGUGGGUGUGCCCACGGCUUGCAGAAGAAGUCUGCAUUUCACAAUAUAUGCCCGAGGGGGUAGAAAUUAGCAAAAAUAUUAAGAGCCUUUAUGUGGUUUUAGCCAUGACAUUUUGUACUUGGCUUUUCUCAUCGAGUUGAGGCCUUAUAACCCGUUAUAAACCUUGGGGAGAAUGCCAGUGUAAUUAACAUUGUGAAAGAGUUUCCACUAUAAGCUUUAAUUUGAGGACAUUUGAAUUUUACGAAUAAUUCUUCUUUGAAAUUUUCCAUCUUCAUUUUUUAUCCAAAUGUGAUUUGUCUGUUUGUAUGUUUGUUUGUUUUGGAAAAAUUGAAGAUGUUUAACUGUUUUAAUGUCAAGACAGGAAAAUAUUUGUUGUCUGAUUGAUUUUGUCCAAUACUUUCAUAGAAAUAUUCCAAAUGUUAUAAAGUGUCUGAAUUUAAAUCGCAAACUUAGAAAGUGAAAUGAGAUUGAGUGAGAAAUUUUAUAAAUUAGAGUCAUGAAAUUUCAUAAAUUAGCAACGCAUAGUUAAGACGGCAGAGCGAACAACGUAUGGAAAGAAUUUAGAGUGAAUUAAUUCCAACUCACUGUCUCUCUUGUGUGUCCACAAAAUCUAAAAACAUACCCUCUUGGGUUGUAUCAAAUUUUUUCAAGCGAAAGACACAAUCAACCCAAUUCUAUUACUAAUUUCUCUGCUUGCUUAUGUUCAGAUAAGAAGGAAAUCUGUUCUUCUGAAAGAUUAGUACUUAAUUAUCCUAAUAAAAAUCUCGUCCUCCUCUCUCUCUUUCCACUAAUGGAAAUCCGAAUGAAUUGGUUAUAUAAGUUUUUUAAUAAAACUUUCAGUUUCAGUUUCUGUUUAGAAAGAGCUUGAAUUUUAUCACUGUUAUUCGUACUAUAGGAAAAAGCUGAACUAAUUAAAUGUUAAUGACUUCUUUAAACCCAUUAGAGAAAUACAAUUUUAGGACAAACGGCUACUCCACAGUCUGGAGGAACAAGGGAAUCUGGAGUCACAGCUAAGAUCUGCUUAUUAACAUCUAGAGCAAAAGUCACUGGAGGAACAUCUCAGUAAUGAUUCUGACGACGUGAUGGAGGCCGAAUGUGAACUAGCACCAGCAUAGCGGAAUUCCCGGGAGCUGCAGUCUGAGGGUUUCUCAGUACGUGAAAGGCAUUUAUUUCAAAAUGAAACUAUAUGGAGUUCCCAUCGUGGCUCAGUGGUUAAUGAAUCUGACCAAGAACCAUGAGGUUGCAGGUUCGAUCCCCGGCCUUGCUCAGUGGGUUAAGGAUCCGGCGUUGCCGUUGCCAUGAGCUGUGAUGUAGGUUGCAGAUGAGGCUCAGAUCCCGCGUUGCUGUGGCUCUGGCGUAGGCCGGUGGCUAUAGCUCCAAUUCGACCCCUAGCCUGGGAACCUCCAUAUGCCAAGGGAGCAGCCCAAGAAAUGGCAAAAAAAGACUAAUAAUAAUAAUAAUAAUAAAAUAAAAAUGAAACUAUAGGAGUUCCCUGAUGACUCAGCAGGUUAAGGAUCUGGUGUUCUCACUGCUGUGAUGCAGGUUCAAUCCUUGGACCUGGAACUUCCCUACGCUAUGAGUGCAGGGGAAAAAAAAAAGGAGGGGAAAGAAAGAAAGGAAAAAGAAAGGGAGUUCGGGUCUCAGCUCCAACUGAACUAGUAUCCAGAAGGAUGAGGGUUCGAGCCCUGGCCUUGCUCAGUAGGUUAAGGAUCCAGCAUUGCUGUGAGCUGUGGCGUCGGUCACACAGGUGGCAUGGAUCUGGCAUUUCCGUGGCUGUGGCAUAAGCCGUAAGCUCGAGGCUACAGCUCUGAUUCAGCCCCUAGCCUGGGAAGCUCCAUAUGCCUCGAGUGUGGCC
rnacentral:lncRNA from 1 species